UUUACUUAAAGGAUUCCCAAAUAAUUUUGACAUUUGUUGCGUGGUGGGCACUAUUUAAUUUUUAAUUGAUGUUUUUUUAGCUAACAUCCGCGACGUGCAAACCGCAGCAACCCGUGUUUAAAAAAUGAAGCGGAAAUGUUCUGUCCCAAUGGUAAUUAGAAUUGCCACCACUGCCAGUGUUGUAUUUGGAUCGAUUAUUUGGUAGAUAAAUUAAUCGAAAAUACAACCUGCGAUAUUGUAAGGGCUCGUUAGGUCGGUAUCAUAAAGAAGGUAAAUGUCAGGAAAAAUUAAGGAAAAGCCGAAAAGCGGAAAAAUGCCGCGUCAUUCCCGUAGGUAUAAAAGGGGGAAAAAGGAAAACGCGCCCUUAUUAUUCAAGUGGUGCGACAGUAAAAUAGUGGUCAUAAAAGUAAAAAAAAUUAAAACCUGCCAAAUUUCAAAAUAAAAAUUACUUUUUUUAAGGCAAUAAAAGCCUCGAUAUUUAUUUUAUUAUUUAUGGUGAAGGCGUUAGUAAUUGAUUUGUUUCGCCAAAAUAAUUUAAAUUUCUCGAGGGUAUCAACUGGCCUCCUCGGCGAACAAAAGCGGAGAGGUCAGCCCAUCUUUGACGGCCACAGCAACCACCACAACGCAAAAUUGAGGCCCCAGCAACCGCCUCCAUAACACCAAUUCCCUUGAUCCAUGAUAUCCGGGUUCUGCUUUAUCCUGGUGGACGAGGUCGCGGAAGAGUGAUCCUGGAAAAGAACAAAGCAGGUUGUACUAAAGAAUGCAAAAAGCCAGGUAACAAAGUUAUUUAUUAAACUUACCGCUUGUUUGAUACAACCACUGGCAUAAAAUAAAAACCAGAACCAGGAGGGAGACCCUGCAACAGAAAAAAGGAGAAAUUCCAUUAAAUAAAA